CCUACGGGAGGCAGCAGUGAGGAAUAUUGGUCAAUGGGCGGAAGCCUGAACCAGCCAAGUAGCGUGCGGGAUGAAGGCCCUACGGGUCGUAAACCGCUUUUGCACGGGGAUAACACCCUCCACUUGUGGAGGUCUGCAGGUACCGUGCGAAUAAGGGCCGGCUAAUUCCGUGCCAGCAGCCGCGGUAAUACGGAAGGCCCGAGCGUUAUCCGGAUUCAUUGGGCUAAAAGGGAGCGUAGGCGGGCGUUCAAGUCAGCUGUAAAAGCGCGCGGCUCAACCGCGCCCCGCAGUUGAAACUGGACGCCUUGAGUUCACAACAGGCAGGCGGAAUUCGUGGUGUAGCGGUGAAAUGCAUAGAUAUCACGAGGAACCCCGAUUGCGAAGGCAGCCUGCCGGGGUGCGACUGACGCUGAGGCUCGAAGGUGCGGGUAUCAAACAGGAUUAGAUACCCCAGUAGUC
rnacentral:rRNA from 1 species